rnacentral:lncRNA from 1 species
GCUAUAGACUAGUGGAAACCUCCCACUGGAUGUACCUGCUCCUUCCCCCUGAUUUUCCCCACAGGUUCGGAAGCUUGACCAAGUCCUUAUUAUUUGCCUCAAGGACAACUUCCUGAGUCUUUCGUGUGUCUGGCUAUCAGAUAUUUCUACACUGGCAUAACGGAGCAAGCCACUACACUGAAGUUAUGGGCUGGGAAUUUAUUUUCUUCUACUGUCCUGUCAGAGGAGAUAGGAACUUCUGUGCACAAAACCAAAUGAGAAGCUCUGACCUUUAGCCUGGCAUUUAGUUGCCUCCAACUCAUUCUUACUUAUGCCGAAGGUCACAGUGGAUAAUCUCAAGCCCUAAGCAAUUUCAUAGCCACAUUGGACAAACUCUACACUUGCUUCCAUAAUUAAACAUCAGACUUCAAAAAAGGAAGUGAUGGAAGAGAGACAGAAAAAUACCCUAGAUGAGAAGCUGGACUCUAACAGGAAAGUCAUGGAAUCAGCCUGGUGAGAGAGAGGAAGGAAAGGAGGGAAGAGAGGAGCAGCCGUGCUGGAUGUGCAGAGGAGCUCAACCCUUUAGAGGGUGGAGUCUUGCAGGAGGAAGGGGGUCUCUAGGGCAGGCUGCAAGGACCCAUAGCCUCACUCCAUUGCCUGCCCCGCCUCCCAUGAAUGGAUGAAAGUUGCAAUCAGCCAGCUCUCCUUCCUGCUGCCAGCCAUGUCUUUCCCACCACAAUGGUAUGCAUCCUUCUG